rnacentral:rRNA from 1 species
UGGGGAAUAUUGGACAAUGGAGGAAACUCUGAUCCAGCAAUUCUGUGUGUGUGAAGAAGGUUUUAGGACUGUAAAACACUUUUAGUAGGGAAGAAAAAAAUGACGGUACCUACAGAAGAAGCAACGGCUAAAUACGUGCCAGCAGCCGCGGUAAUACGUAUGUUGCGAGCGUUAUCCGGAAUUAUUGGGCUUAAAGGGCAUCUAGGCGGUAAGACAAGUUGAAGGUGAAAACCUGUGGCUCAACCAUAGGCUUGCCUACAAAACUGUUGAACUAGAGUACUGGAAAGGUGGGUGGAACUACACGAGUAGAGGUGAAAUUCGUAGAUAUGUGUAGGAAUGCCGAUGAUGAAGAUAACUCACUGGACAGAAACUGACGCUGAAGUGCGAAAGCUAGGGGAGCGAACAGG